rnacentral:lncRNA from 1 species
ACAGCACACCAUCACCAAUCUUGUCUUUAAACUUUUGACAUUUUGUCAUGAAUUUUUUUUGGUAUUGAGACUUUUAAAGAAAACUGCGUUAACAUUAUUCAUUUACUUCAACUGUAUGUCUGAGGCAAGUGCUUACUCUCUCUGCCUUCCAGUCACCCAUCCAUUCCCACAACACAGAUUUGGGAUUUUGCUGUCACCUUCAGACCUCUGACAACAGUUUUGUUUUGUUUUUUCCACAGAAGAUCAGAGGAGGCUUCCUCCUUCUCCUGCCACAGCUGCUGCAAUUAAUUUUUCCCUACACCAUCCAUGACCACUGCCGGGAGGGGCUGGUGCAGCAUCCCACCCACGAUGCCAGGCAGCACAUGAGGGACACACAGGCAGGCAGAGAGGAAGGAGGAGGACAGCCACACUACACUGGAUUUUCAACCAAAAGAAAAAAAAACACAGCACAGAAUCUACAAUCUGGCCACGAAUGACUGAGGAGCACUACCCAGCUCUCUGGGCCCUAGGGGCACAGCCUCAGGGUCCCCACGCUGAAGGCCCAUGUGACAGCUCUGUCCUUCAAUUCUUCAUCUCUGACCUUCAUUCCAAUAAAACCAGCUGCUUUCCCUAUGGUG